rnacentral:lncRNA from 1 species
GGUCUAAUGAUGAACCCCAAUUAGAGUACUAAGUUACUAAGAAAGAUUCAUACAUAUAUCAUGCAUUUAAUAUUAUAUAUCUAAAACAUAUCUCUAAGACAUACUAGGAUUUGGAUGUUCAAUUGGGUUCCACCAUUGACCCGACUUGAAGUAAACCAAAAACCCAUGCUUGAUCACAAUCAAGAUAAUAUUUUAAUCUUUAAUUGUAUAAAUCAAAGUAGGCUCUGAUAUCACUAUUGAGUUCUGAUGGUACAGUGGAAGGGCUAGAUGUUUAAAAUUUUCAUUCAAAAUACCU